rnacentral:rRNA from 1 species
GACGAACGCUGGCGGCGUGCUUAACACAUGCAAGUCGAACGGAGUGGCGAACGGGUGAGUAACACGUGGGUGAUCUGCCUUGCACUUCGGGAUAAGCUUGGGAAACUGGGUCUAAUACCGGAUAGUGCAAGAUGAGAUCGCGGCCUAUCAGCUUGUGGGGGGGGGAAUGGCCUACAAGGGCGUCGACGGGUAGCCGGCCUGAGAGGGUGUACGGCCACAUUGGGACGGAGAUACUGGCCAGAGUCGGACGGGAGGCAGCAGUGGGGAAGAUUGCACAAUGGGCGGAAGCCUGAAGAAGCGACGCCGAGUGGGGGAUGAAGGCCUUCGGGUUGUAAACUCCUUUCGACAGGGACGCGGUACCUGUAUAAGAAGCACCGGCUAACUACGUGCCAGCAGCCGCGGUAAUUC